rnacentral:tRNA from 1 species
GCCUCGGUAGCUCAGUCGGCAGAGCGCGUGCCUUUUAACCCCGUGGCCGCGGGUUCGAGCCACGCCCUAGGUG